CGGGGUGGGGCGCAGUUGGGAGCGCGCCUGGUUCGGGACCAGGAGGUCGCGGGUUCGAAACCCGCCACCCCGACCA
rnacentral:tRNA from 1 species